ACCUUUCUGAAUCCGUGCAGAGAUUUCGUCAAGCACUAACCCACUAGGACCGGUCAGGCUUCCAAGAUAAGUGAAGUU
rfam:Schistosoma curassoni strain Dakar, Senegal genome assembly, scaffold: SCTD_contig0003415